GAAGGUAUAGCUCAAGUGGUAGAGCGCAUGCUUAGCAUACGUAAGGUCCUGGGUUCAAUCCCCAGUACCUCCU
rnacentral:tRNA from 1 species